UGAGACAACAAGAUGAAUUAGAGGAGCAGGCAAUUAUAAAUUCAAGACAUCAGACAGCUUCCAGGACUGAGCCUACCUAGAUAAAGUGCGAGGAGGCUGUACAGGAAGCGUGGCUAGGGGAGGCCUCAUGAAAUAUACAACUGUGGCAGGAGGUGAAGGGCAAGCCAUCAUGUCCUACAUGACUGAAGCAAGGGGAAAAGAGAGCAAAUGUAGAAGUGCUACAUACUUUUAAACAAACAGAUCUCGUGAGAAAUCACUCACUAUCACAACAGCAAGAGGGAAACUCACCCCUAUGAUGUAAUCACCCCCUACCAAGUUUCUCCCCCAACAUUGGGAAUUACAAUUCCAUAU